rnacentral:lncRNA from 1 species
UAGGUUUAUUCACGUUUUCUACUUAUUUCAGAUUAGCCUUGCCGGAGAUUUAUCGAACGUAUUAGUCCUUUUAACAGGAAUCACCUUUGGUUGCUGAAGCAUCCAAAGUGGAAGAACUCUCAGAGGAAACGGAAGUUAAAUCACCAUCUUCUUCUGUGGCUAAACCUAUAACAGUAAGAGGGCAGGAGGAAAAUUCCUGACUAUGACCUGGAUUUCUCCUACUCUCUUAGCCUCUGGAGUAGGGAUAACUCAAUUCAACUUUUCUGCUCUGACUUGUAUUUUGAAGGCCAAGGAAACAAGGCCCAUGCACGCAUGUGCGCGCGCACCUCCCCACCCCCCACACACACUCAGGUUCAUUGUUUUCCCAAUUCCCCAGCAGUUCACAUAUUUCUGUAGACCAAGUCCUUUCCAGUAUCCCCACAAUCUUUUUUCAGAGGCUAUCUUACCAUGAUCUCACCAAGCCCAUGGCAGGAUAGCCCUUCACAAGUUUCUUCCUAAGGAUUCCUCAACCUGCAGAGCUAAAGACUUCUGUCCGAUCUGGGAAUCUACUGCCUUUCUCAGCCAUUUGGACAGGUGAGCCAGAGGUAUUCUUGUUUAGAAUGAAGAGAAAGUAUGAUGCUUUCUCCAAACAUUUCCAGAAUCCCUGUCUUUUAUCUAAGUUCUUUCCUUAUAAUUUGCAUUAAGAUUUGUCAAUAUAUAGGUUAAAAUGAUAUAAAAUUUAUCUUAAUAAUUCUUCAUUACUGGGGAAGUCAUCAAUUCAAUAUAUACAAUUUUUUUCUGUGUUCCUUUUAUAAAUUGCCUUCUCGUGUCUAUAGUUCAAUUUUCUGCUAUCUAUGAAAUCAAAGAAAAAUGCAACAAAAUAUAUAACUAAAUGCUAAGUGCUUUCAAUGCUGUAGAAAAUUAUCUUAAGAUGUCUCAAUCUUCCUUGGAGGAAGCAGACAGAUGCCUGCAUAAUUGAGACUAUGUGUGGCUUCUCAAUUCUUUCUAGAAAUGAGAAAAAAGCAAGACAGUGUUAUAGACUUUGAAUGGGUCAAUGUCAACACUAAUGUUUUAAAGUAUUUGUAAGAAGAUCAGAACCACUGAUACAAGUAACCAGAGAAAGGGAUAUUUUUGCCUGAGUUUUUACAAGUACAGCUGUAAAACAAACAACAGGCAUGGUCAAACAAAUGACCAUAAACAAGCAAAAUUCCACUAAAUAAAAGAAGAAAUAAGCAAGGAUAUAGAAAAAAAUUGGAAAAAUGGUGUUAAUAAGCUACGUUGCUUGUUCUGUUCCAUGACAAUAAUCUGAGUAUUUAUGUCUGUCAAGAAUAGUUAUUAGCACUUUCUUGGACACAAGCAUUGUGAUCUAAAUUAAUAAGCACACAUAAUUUAGUCCCAUAUUUUCAUUAAUUUAUAGUUUACUGAUUUGAGAACAGAGACAUUUUAUAUAUAGGACCAAGAAAUAUGUUGCAUAUCCUUCUCGUUUUUUGGAGGCAAAGCAGUACUAUAAAAUAUCAUAUUUCCCUAUCAUUUUUUGCCAUCAUUAUACCACAGAAAACAGGUUGAUGCAGUGAAACUUGCAAAUUCCCCAUACCAUGUAUAAUUAAUCCUCUAAGAAAGAGCUGAAAGAAAAUAGUAUAAUAAAUGUAAAGGAGAAGUCAAUGCUAUAAACAUCUAAUUUCAUGAAAUGAAAUAUUUCUACUUUUUAAAAUAAAAGCUCUUUUAUUACUAGAACACUUUGGAAGUGAUGUUGUCUCCAAUUUCAAAGGAAAAGAGCGUAAAACAAAACAGAGAAAAGAAAUGUAAUAGCAAAUUAAUGGAAAAGCCAUAUAUAUAACUAACUGCAAUAUGUAUCAUAAGUGAAAGGAUUGUGGAUAAGAAAGCUCAGCCUCCUCAGACUUGUGUGUGAUUUGACAGGGUGAAUUCUGAGCUUGUGAGGUCUUGGGAUUUAAUUUCAUGGCAUGCAUAAAAGUAAUGCAAACCCAUUCAUCCUAGAAACAAAACACUUGCCAUCACAGAGGCUGCCUGAGCCAUGUAGACUUAUUACAGUCAUGUCUUUGGAGAGAUGCCUCAGCACAGCUAUGUA